GGAUGAGAAACACUCCUUUGCAAGGAUAAAAAAGCCAGACAGCCUCAUCCA
rnacentral:tRNA from 1 species